CGUGGAAGGGAAAGCGUCAUGGCGGCUUCCUGUUUCGUCGCGCAAGGUUUUUCAAUACGGACUCUCAACAAACUUUCGCGAUUCUUAUACGUCGAACGCAUCCUCCCUCGUGAAAAAUCUUGACUGAAGUGACCGCAUUGAUGAAGACAAACAUCUAUAGCUCGGAACUGUGCCUCGUUUCGCCCAUGGGUUGCAAAGGAAAAAGGGUGUAAAAGGUGGCAAUGAAUCCGCACAUGAAGCUGGCUCACAAGCUAAGCCUCCCCUAAAGAGGUCCACUAAGCAAGCAUUUUAAAUAUUGCUAAUAAAACAUUUUGUUCUGUCUUCAUCU
rnacentral:lncRNA from 1 species